ACGGUAAUGUCACGUUUAAACACCAGUUCUCAUACGAUCACCGAAGUUAAGCAACGUCGAUCAUGGUCAAUACCAAGAUGAGUGACUGCUUGGGAAUAGCAGGUGUUGUAAG